GGGACUCAAGCAAGCCUCGCUCUGCUUCCUCUUCUCCUUGGUUAAUAAUACUAGUAGUAAGCAUAUACUAGCACUAGCUAGUAAGCCAUGGCGCCGACCGUGAUGGCCUCGUCGGCCACCUCAGUUGCUCCAUUCCAGGGGCUCAAGUCCACCGCCGGACUCCCCGUGAGCCGCCGCUCCAUCAGCACCGGCUUCGUCAGCAACGGCGGAAGGAUCAGGUGCAUGCAGGUAAUAUAAUCGAUCGAUCAAGACACUGGAAUUAUAUUCUUGCUGUUUGUUCAUAGAAAUAAUGCAACUCAAUAGGAAGUUUAGGAACUGAUAUGAAAGUGUCGUUGCUCAGGUGUGGCCGGCGGAGGGCAACAAGAAGUUCGAGACCCUCUCCUACCUGCCACCUCUCUCCACGGACGAGGUCCUGAAGCAGAUCGACUACCUGAUCCGGAAGAACUGGAUCCCCUGCCUUGAGUUCAGCAAGAUCGGGUUCGUCUAUCGUGAGAACAGCACGUCUCCCUGUUACUACGACGGGCGCUACUGGACCAUGUGGAAGCUGCCCAUGUUCGGCUGCACCGAGGCCACCCAGGUGUACGCUGAGUUCGAGGAGUGCAAGAAGGCCUACCCCGACUGUUACAUCCGUAUCAUCGGCUUCGACAACAUCAAGCAGGUGCAGUGCGUCAUGUUCAUCGCCUACAAGCCCCCGGGCAGCGAGUAGACCGGCGGCGCCAAAUAAAAAGCUUAAAUACCUGUCCGUCUCAGUUCAACACCGCUUGAUUAUCUCCAUUUUUCCCCAUCUGAACGCUUCUGUAACUAUUGGGCGAGCAUGCGUGCCCAUGAGCAAUGCUACCAUUGGCUUGCUAAACAUGUGAAUGCAUGGUACAUAGCUCCGGCUAUACCUUUGCACAUAGUGAUAUAUUUACACGAAUGUAUACACAGCGAUCAUAUUCAUACGACAAUGUACCACUAGAUUGCCAAUUCGUUGGAACAUUAUAACAUGGUUGUUUUACUUACGUAAAUGAUCAUAUGAUAAUACAAGGAAAAAGUGUAUUUUUCAUCCCUC
rnacentral:lncRNA from 1 species